GUGAGAAAUACCUGGAAUGCCUGCAUUCCAUUCGUAGCCAUAUGUACUUCUAAAAUACAGUAGGAAGCUUCUAAAGAAAUGUCUGAAAAUGUCUAGGAGAUAUCUUUAGUACAAUUUGGAAGGGGUAUGUUUCUGCAUGUUUCAAAAUAGAAGCCAUUUUUCCACUAGUGGCAGGCAGAAAUGAAUGACGUCAAUAUGUCAGUAAGUGAAGCCAUGACCAGUCUGCAGAAAACUUCCUGCAUCUUUCUUGACAAAUAUGACCCUACCCAUGCUACAAUCCACAGAAUAACCUCCUUAAAAUCUUUCUAAGCCCCAUCUGUCUUGAGAAAUCAAAUGGAAACUUGCCCAGCACCGUGGACCAGGACACCUGACUUACUAAUCUUCUGUGACUUUUGGGUGAGAGAAGCUGUGGCAGCAUGGCAGGGAGAGGUUGGACUGAAAGGUGAGCAGGGCUUGGAUGGCCAGCAUUGGUUUGAAAUGCCCUAACUACUGGUUUGUAUAGAUGUGUGGUUUUACAUCUGAAUUUGUCAUUGCAGCAUCCUUCUGUUAAUACCUGAAUAAGCAGGUAUUACCAAAGGAAGAUUUCUCUCAUUAGAUAUCUUAGAUAAGAUAGAUAUCCAAACAGUUCAAAUGAUUUACUAUUCAAAAUGCCAUAUGUGUUUAUGUGUUUAUAUAUUUCUACUGACAAAAAACAGGUAUGUUGGGGUGACUGGUGCACAUUUGACUAUCUGAGCUUAAACUGCUGAAGUGCUGGGUGAAAUAAAUCCUGGGUUUAGGGAGUGCUGAGCGUGUCC
rnacentral:lncRNA from 1 species